AGAAUGCUUGAGAGAGGUAAAACCAGCAGGGACAUCUUGCCUGAAAUUCAGCAGCACUGAGACAGUGGCUGUGGGUAACCAGUACUUUGAAAGAGGAGCCCAUGGAUAACAUGCUGCAGAAGUAACCCAGGAUGGAUGUGAGAGCAUUUCAGAGUCCUCCCCCAUGCUGCCUGGAGAACUUGACAAGCUGGAGCCAACCCUACAGUAGACUUGGCACUUUAAUUACUCCAGGCAAUGAUACUGGGCUGACUUAAAUGGAAAACUGAAAAAUUGAGGAGUUGAGACUAACAACUGUGACCUUCCAUGAGGUUGGCAGCUCAUUGCACUUUUCUAUAGCUCAAAGA
rnacentral:lncRNA from 1 species